rnacentral:rRNA from 1 species
CCUGAACGCUGGCGGCGUGGCUAAGACAUGCAAGUCGCACGGUGUAGCAAUACACAGUGGCGAACGGGAGAGUAAUGAAUCGCUAACGUACCCCGGACUCUGGGAUAGCCAUCCGAAAGG